rnacentral:rRNA from 1 species
UACGUACCGGACGAACGUUAUUCGGAAUCACUGGGCUUAAAGCGUGCGUAGGCGGUCUGGAAGGUGGGGUGUGAAAUCCCUCGGCUCAACCGAGGAAUUGCGCUUCAAACCACCAGACUUGAGGAAGGCAGGGGUGAGCGGAACUGAUGGUGGAGCGGUGAAAUGCGUUGAUAUCAUCAGGAACACCGGUGGCGAAGGCGGCUCACUGGGCCUUUUCUGACGCUGAGGCACGAAAGCUAGGGGAGCGAACGGG